rnacentral:tRNA from 1 species
GAGGGCAUAGCUCACUGGUAAAGUGCAUGCUUAGCAUGCACAAGGGCCUGGGUUCAAUCCCAGUACUUUCA